AACAGGAUUAGAUACCCUGGUAGUCCACGCCGUAAACGAUGUCGACUUGGAGGUUGUGCCCUUGAGGCGUGGCUUCCGGAGCUAACGCGUUAAGUCGACCGCCUGGGGAGUACGGCCGCAAGGUUAAAACUCAAAUGAAUUGACGGGGGCCCGCACAAGCGGUGGAGCAUGUGGUUUAAUUCGAUGCAACGCGAAGAACCUUACCUACUCUUGACAUCCAGAGAACUCAGCAGAGAUGCUUUGGUGCCUUCGGGAACUCUGAGACAGGUGCUGCAUGGCUGUCGUCAGCUCGUGUUGUGAAAUGUUGGGUUAAGUCCCGCAACGAGCGCAACCCUUAUCCUUUGUUGCCAGCGAUUCGGUCGGGAACUCAAAGGAGACUGCCAGUGAUAAACUGGAGGAAGGUGGGGAUGACGUCAAGUCAUCAUGGCCCUUACGAGUAGGGCUACACACGUGCUACAAUGGCAUAUACAAAGAGAAGCGACCUCGCGAGAGCAAGCGGACCUCAUAAAGUAUGUCGUAGUCCGGAUUGGAGUCUGCAACUCGACUCCAUGAAGUCGGAAUCGCUAGUAAUCGUGGAUCAGAAUGCCACGGUGAAUACGUUCCCGGGCCUUGUACACACCGCCCGUCACACCAUGGGAGUGGGUUGCAAAAGAAGUAGGUAGCUUAACCUUCGGGAGGGCGCUUACCACUUUGUGAUUCAUGACUGGGGUGAAGUCGUAACAAGGUAACC
rnacentral:rRNA from 1 species